AAUUUGGAGUGAUAGUCACCCACCUUCUUCUUUUGUCUGCAAUCACAGAGAUUUGUACUUGUUGAGGAUUUUGAUAUUGAUCCUCUGAUUUUUUUUGUUUUGUUUACCUUUUUUUUUUGCUUGGGUUGAUCCUUUGGGUCUGCAGCCCACCGGGAUGCCCUAACUUUUGCCUAAGUCAAUCUUGUUUUCAAGCUUUAGACUUAGCGGGCUUUUUAUUUGCUUUUGAUUUUUUUUUUCAUUUUGUUUCAUUUUUCUUUUGGAGUAAAUCUAGUGGCGCUGCUUUACCGAUUUGUUGCAAGGUUCGUGACUAUCUCACUCCUUUUGAUGGUAAGGGAUAACCAUUUGAC
rnacentral:lncRNA from 1 species